rnacentral:rRNA from 1 species
UAUCAUUAACUGAAUCCAUAGGUUAAUGAGGCGAACCGGGGGAACUGAAACAUCUAAGUACCCCGAGGAAAAGAAAUCAACCGAGAUUCCCCCAGUAGCGGCGAGCGAACGGGGAGCAGCCCAGAGCCUGAAUCAGUAUGUGUGUUAGUGGAAGCGUCUGGAAAGGCGCGCGAUACAGGGUGACAGCCCCGUACACAAAAAUGCACAUGCUGUGAGCUCGAUGAGUAGGGCGGGACACGUGGUAUCCUGUCUGAAUAUGGGGGGACCAUCCUCCAAGGCUAAAUACUCCUGACUGACCGAUAGUGAACCAGUACCGUGAGGGAAAGGCGAAAAGAACCCCGGCGAGGGGAGUGAAAAAGAACCUGAAACCGUGU